GUCAUACCGUGGCGGGUCCCGGCCGCGGGGCUGGCAGGUUGAGGGGAGAAAAGAUGGCGGCAUCGGCGGCAGCUGGUGCGGCCUCCGGGUUGCCGGGUCCAGUGGCACAGGGAUUGAAGGAGGCGUUGGUGGAUACGCUCACUGGGAUCCUGUCCCCAGUGCAGGAGGUGCGGGCGGCUGCCGAGGAACAGAUUAAGGUGCUGGAGGUGACAGAGGAAUUUGGUGUUCACUUGGCAGAGCUGACCGUUGAUCCCCAGGGAGCACUGGCAAUCCGUCAGCUGGCAUCAGUUAUCUUGAAGCAGUAUGUGGAGACCCACUGGUGUGCCCAGUCAGAGAAGUUUAGGCCUCCUGAGACUACAGAAAGGGCAAAAAUCGUUAUCCGGGAGCUACUACCCAAUGGGUUGAGAGAAUCAAUAAGCAAAGUGCGUUCCAGUGUUGCCUAUGCAGUGUCAGCCAUUGCCCACUGGGACUGGCCUGAAGCCUGGCCCCAGCUCUUCAACCUGCUCAUGGAGAUGUUGGUGAGCGGAGACUUAAAUGCAGUCCAUGGAGCCAUGCGCGUGCUGACAGAGUUCACUAGAGAAGUGACAGACACACAGAUGCCACUUGUGGCUCCUGUCAUUCUCCCAGAGAUGUAUAAGAUCUUCACCAUGGCAGAGGUGUAUGGUAUUCGAACUCGGUCCCGAGCUGUGGAGAUUUUUACUACUUGUGCCCAUAUGAUCUGUAACAUGGAGGAGCUGGAAAAGGGUGCAGCCAAAGUCCUCAUCUUUCCUGUGGUGCAGCAGUUCACAGAAGCCUUUGUUCAGGCCCUCCAGAUACCAGAUGGCCCCACAUCCGACAGUGGGUUUAAGAUGGAGGUCCUAAAGGCAGUGACAGCCCUGGUGAAAAACUUCCCAAAGCACAUGGUGUCCUCCAUGCAGCAGAUUCUGCCUAUUGUUUGGAACACCCUAACAGAGAGUGCAGCUUUUUAUGUGAGGACAGAAGUGAAUUACACAGAGGAAGUAGAAGAUCCUGUGGAUUCUGAUGGUGAAGUCCUGGGUUUUGAAAAUCUCGUCUUUAGCAUUUUUGAAUUUGUCCAUGCCCUACUAGAAAAUAGCAAAUUCAAAAGCACUGUUAAGAAAGCCUUGCCUGAAUUGAUUUACUAUAUUAUCCUGUACAUGCAAAUCACUGAGGAGCAGAUUAAAGUAUGGACAGCCAACCCCCAACAGUUUGUAGAAGAUGAAGAUGAUGAUACUUUCUCCUACACUGUUAGAAUCGCAGCUCAAGACCUGUUGCUGGCAGUGGCCACAGAUUUCCAGAAUGAGAGUGCAGCAGCCCUGGCCGCUGCAGCCACUCGGCAUUUACAAGAAGCUGAGCAAACCAAAAACAGCGGCACUGAGCACUGGUGGAAGAUCCACGAGGCCUGCAUGCUUGCCCUUGGCUCAGUGAAGUCCAUUAUCACUGACAGUGUAAAAAAUGGCAGGAUUCAUUUCGACAUGCACGGGUUCCUGACCAACGUCAUCCUUGCAGACCUCAACCUCUCGGUGUCUCCUUUCCUCUUGGGUCGGGCACUUUGGGCUGCCAGUCGGUUCACUGUUGCUAUGUCCCCUGAACUGAUCCAGCAGUUCCUACAGGCAACAGUUAGUGGUCUUCAUGAGACACAACCCCCAUCAGUUCGAAUUUCUGCGGUGAGAGCCAUCUGGGGUUAUUGUGAUCAACUGAAGGUCUCUGAGAGUACCCACGUGCUUCAGCCUUUCCUCCCCAGCAUCCUUGACGGCUUAAUUCACCUAGCAGCGCAGUUCAGCUCAGAGGUCCUCAAUCUGGUGAUGGAGACCCUAUGCAUCGUUUGUACAGUAGACCCAGAGUUCACAGCAAGCAUGGAAAGCAAAAUCUGCCCCUUCACCAUUGCGAUUUUCCUAAAGUACAGUAAUGAUCCUGUCGUCGCCUCGCUGGCUCAGGACAUCUUCAAGGAGCUGUCUCAGAUUGAAGCCUGUCAGGGCCCGAUGCAAAUGAGGCUGAUUCCCACUCUGGUCAGCAUAAUGCAGGCCCCAGCGGACAAGAUCCCUGCAGGGCUCUGUGCGACAGCUAUUGAUAUCCUGACCACAGUAGUGCGGAACACAAAGCCUCCCCUUUCCCAGCUCCUCAUCUGCCAAGCUUUCCCUGCUGUGGCCCAGUGCACCCUUCACACAGAUGAUAAUGCCACCAUGCAGAAUGGUGGAGAGUGCUUGCGGGCCUAUGUGUCAGUGACGCUGGAGCAGGUUGCCCAGUGGCAUGAUGAGCAAGGCCACAAUGGACUGUGGUAUGUGAUGCAAGUGGUGAGCCAACUCCUAGACCCCCGCACCUCAGAGUUCACUGCAGCCUUUGUGGGCCGUCUCGUCUCCACUCUCAUCUCCAAGGCAGGGCGGGAGCUGGGGGAGAAUCUGGAUCAGAUUCUUCGUGCCAUCCUCAGUAAGAUGCAGCAGGCAGAGACUCUCAGUGUUAUGCAGUCUCUGAUCAUGGUGUUUGCUCAUCUGGUGCACACUCAGCUGGAACCUCUCUUGGAGUUCCUUUGUAGCCUCCCAGGACCUACUGGCAAACCUGCCCUGGAGUUUGUGAUGGCUGAGUGGACAAGCCGACAGCAUCUGUUCUAUGGACAAUAUGAAGGCAAAGUCAGCUCUGUGGCACUGUGUAAACUACUCCAGCAUGGCAUCAAUGCAGAUGACAAACGGCUGCAGGAUAUCCGCGUGAAAGGAGAAGAGAUCUACAACAUGGAUGAGGGCAUCCGUACCCGCUCUAAGUCGGCCAAAAACCCAGAGCGCUGGACAAACAUUCCUUUGCUGGUCAAGAUCCUAAAGCUGAUUAUCAACGAACUCUCCAACGUCAUGGAGGCCAAUGCCGCUCGCCAGGCCGCUCCUGCAGAGUGGAGUCAAGAUGACUCCAAUGAUAUGUGGGAGGACCAGGAGGAGGAAGAGGAAGAGGAGGAGGAUGGUUUAGCUGGCCAGCUUUUAUCUGACAUUCUGGCUACAAGUAAAUAUGAGGAGGAUUACUACGAGGAUGAUGAGGAAGAUGACCCUGAUGCCCUGAAGGAUCCUCUCUAUCAGAUUGAUCUGCAGGCGUAUCUCACAGACUUCCUCUGCCAGUUUGCUCAGCAGCCCUGUUACAUCAUGUUCUCUGGCCACCUCAAUGACAACGAGAGGCGAGUUCUACAGACCAUCGGCAUCUAAACAGGGAGCCUUCCCGCAUUUGCUCCUUCUCUGGGCCCAACUGCAAACCGUUUUGCAGCCCUCACUGGCCUUGAGAUGCACUUUCUUCUCAACCUAGGGUGGCUUCCUGACUCUUGGCCCUUGGCCUCUGCAGAGUGACAUGACAGUGACUCAGACCAAGCUCACCAGUGGCGUCACCUAGGAAUGCUGGAACAAAAGACAUUUCUCAAAGUCUCCAUGAAGACACCCAUCUCUGGAACCUUCUUUUCUCCCCAAUUCUGGCCCAUCUCUGUUCCCAGAGUCCUCUGCUGGCCAGUCCAGAAACAUUUGUGCCCAGAAGGACUGCAUUCAUGGAUUAUUUUACCCCACCUCAGGACCACAGGAAGUCGUGACCAUUUCUGUUCUGAAACAGACCUGUCUACUUUCAUAGGACAUCUGAUGUGUUCAGAUAGGAAUCCCCUUGAGAGAUCAUCAUGCUUUCUGCCCUCAGCACUGAUGCUUCAGGUUCUCAGUAGGAACCAGCAGAAUAGCUACAAGCUAACCCUUCCCAGUGACCUCCCCUCUGCUUCCUCCUGCAACACUGAGGCUCUUCUGUCCAAGGAAGUCAUCUUGUUUUUGCUUCAUUGCAUGUACAACCCCUCCCCCAAACUGUUCCUAUAUAUACAUGCACACACAAAAUAAGGCAGACAGAUGGCAAUUUGUUUUUCCUUUUUUAGAAAAAAAAGGAUUUAAAAAAAAUUCCACCUGACCCAACUAUAUUUAAUUGCCUCUCCCACACAUUACCACAGAGGCUAAUACCCAAAGGUUAUCUCCUGUCCCCCAGGAAUCCUCUAAAUUGGUUAGGCAUAGCCCUUACAUUUGCAAUGCAUUUUUUUUUUUUUUUUUUUGGUACUAGGGAUCAAACUCUGGUCUUUGCGCUUGUGAGGCAGGCGGCAGAACCACUGAGCUAAAUCCCUGGCCCAUGCAGUGCAUAUUUUUCUAAGACAGUAAAGUAAUCUUUACAAAGGAAUUGAGCCUGCAUGGUAUAAGGUGUCUCGACACCUAUGCCUUCUACUCCCUUUUGAAGGAAAGUGAAAAUAGAGGAGAAAAACAGAUUAGGAGGUGCCUUUUUGACAUUCUGUUAUGUUUUGGGAAACAUCUUAGAAUAAUUCUUACAAGAACUGGCACUAUUCGAUCAAAUAUGUUUAAGGGAGUUGGAAGUAUAGCUCAGUGGUGGAACACUUGCAUAGCAUACUCAAGGUUCUGGGUUCAAUCCCCAGCACUGAAGAAGAAAAAAAGUUUAAAGGCAGUCCUUUAAUUGGAUUUUAGUCUGUUGUGUAUUCAUAGAGUAAAUGAGGAUUUAAAAAUCAAGGGGAGAGAAAGCCCAUUGAUCCCCUUUGUUAGUGCCCAUAUCUGGUGCCUCAUCUUUAAUAGCCACAAAAAAUUUCUGUAGGGUAAUAUUCUCGUAAAAAGGAAAUGGUAAUAAAAUGAAUUUGUAUCUCCUUAAGAGGAGGGCCUCACAGUGGGGCAUUUACUCUAGGACUUUUGUGGAAGCCUAAGGAUAUUGUAGUCAGUAAUGACUUCCUGCCACUAGGUGUCCCUAGCAUUCAGGCCCCGGAUUGAGAUGGGAAGUGAGUCAGUUAAGCUUCUCUUUGAAAGUCCUGAGGGUGUGUGUUCACAGUUGUCCACUGCCAGCCAGAUUCUGGGGCUAAUACUGCCUCUCCCUCUUCUCCCUCUGGUUGGGAGAGUCACUAAAAGGAAAAUGAUGGUAGUUCUGGCCGAGUGAUGCCCAGAAAACCAGUGUGUCUUGGAGACUCACUUCAUAGUUGAUUUCCGGGGGUCAAUGCCAGUUGGGUUUGGUGCUCAGUGCAGUAGGGCAUUCCACAAAGUUAAGUUAGCCGUUGAUUUUGGCACAAAGAGUGCUCUCAUGCCAGCAGCAUUGAACUGCUGAGUUUGAGAAGACUUGGGACCCAACAGAAUGACAUAGCCUGACAAUUAGGAAACCUAGUCAGUGUCUAGUACCAAAAGUGGUCCUAAGGUCCUUGGCAAGAGUCUGGUCAUCCUGUUACCAGCAUGCUGAUUUCUGAGGAAGGUCUUAGCCUCUUGCUUAAGUAAAUUUGAUUGCUGAGGAAAAGGUCCCAUGUCACUUGGAGGACCACCCCUGGCCAAGAGACAUAGCUGUGGUUGAAAGUGGAGGAUCUUGGUAUGUGGGUAUUUCCUUGUGUUUCCAGAACGUUUAACUUUCACAACAGGCAUGCAAAGUGGACAGUCCCAUCCUAUUGAAGAGGAAGCGUUGAGAGAGAUUAUGUCCAGUGUCAGCAGGAAGAAAAGACCUGGGAGGCCAGUGGUGUGGCAGGAAGUUGAACUCUUGCUCCUCUUGUCACCUAUCUUGGCCAGAGAGAACUAGCUUCAGUCUGAAAAGGGCAGGACUAACUGGGGUAGAGCUGAAGAUAAAAGACCUAUGAGGUAAUAAGAUCCUUCAAGUUUCUGGCCGGUUAACAGCAGUAAACACCAAUGGGUUCCCAGGAGUUGGUUGAGCUCUUGGUGGAAAGACUGAAGGGGAAAUGGAAGAAACACUAGAAGACUGAAAAGCAGAUAAAAGACCACAAAAAGGAGUUGUGAAUUACAAGUCACUGGGAAGUAUGACCUACAACAAAUAACUCAAAAAUUAAUGAAAACAGGCAACCAUCAAAUGUUACCUGGCAGAGUGACCCACAAUCCAAGCAGCCUGUGCUCACUGCCAGUUCUCUGCAUUUGCCAGGCAGAUGAGAAUGGAGCUGGAUAUUUCAAAGAAUUUAAGAAGAAAAAAAAAAAACAUGAAUGAGAACUGCAUCUUUAGAGCAUCUGAGCACAUCACAAGUGUUGAAUUGGCUUGGGACUGUAGUUCAGUGGUAGAACACUUGACUAGCAUGUGUGAGGCCCAAUACUGGGGGAACAGAUAUUAGAAUAUGGUUUACAGGGUCUUCAAAAAUAAAGCUGGAAGAACAAGUGAGGGCCAGAUAAAGGGUUCUACAAGGCCUGCUGCCUUUAAAGAUUGGGGGACUAUUCAAUUUUAAGUAGCGGUGACAAGUGUUUUAAUGUCAAUCUCAACGUGACCAUAAGGGCCACUUGGAACCUGGGUUGAAGCAGAGGAAUGCAGUGCAGGGCAGCCUGGGUGGGAGAACCCAGGUCCUGGAUGGAGGCCUAACAGGAAUGAGUGGAAGAGCCGGGUUGGUGAAAUGUCAGCAAGGCAGAGUCAGUAGACUUCGUGACUAAUAAGGGAGGCUUUUCCAAAAGUGAUAGCUGUGGAAUGAGUUGUUUUGCAACGUUACAGGUUCUUCACCAUCGAUACAAGUGCUCAACCUGAGGCUGGUCUUUGAGCUAGCAGACCUAUCAUGGAAAAGCCCCAGUUCUCACAGGGAUUGAAACUAGGCCUUAAAAAUACCUCACCAGGAUUCUAGUCACAAAGCAGACAAAAGUAAUUGGUAAUAAAAUUCCAAAAUUUC